AAUACAUGUAGCUCAGUUUGGUAGAGCAGGAGACACGGUCUUUGUGGCGUAGGUUCAAAUCCUUCCAGUAUUAUCUAUAAUUACAUAAGAAAACGAAAUAUAUAAUGAUUAAUUAGAGAAGUCUAGUAUAUCUUGAGUAUAUGUGGAUUUCUUUCUACACCUAUUUUAAUUAAUAGGUGUUUUUUUAUUGACUUUUAUAAAUAAGUAUGGUAAGAUAGUUAUAUACAAUAAGGAGGAGAUUAAAUGGCUAUAUACGUAGUACCUGAUAUUCAUGGAGAAUAUGAAAAACUAAUAACAAUUAUGAAUAAGAUAGACAAGGAAAGACAACCUGAAGAUGUUAUAG
rnacentral:tRNA from 1 species